AACGAACGCUGGCGGCAUGCCUAACACAUGCAAGUCGAACGAGACCUUCGGGUCUAGUGGCGCACGGGUGCGUAACGCGUGGGAACCUGCCCUUAGGUUCGGAAUAACUCCCCGAAAGGGGUGCUAAUACCGGAUAAUGUCUUCGGACCAAAGAUUUAUCGCCUUUGGAUGGGCCCGCGUUGGAUUAGCUAGUUGGUAGGGUAAAAGCCUACCAAGGCGACGAUCCAUAGCUGGUCUGAGAAGAUGAUCAGCCACACUGGGACUGAGACACGGCCCAGACUCCUACGGGAGGCAGCAGUGGGGAAUAUUGGAAAAUGGGCGAAAGCCUGAUCAAGCAAUGACGCGUGAGUGAUGAAGGCCUUAGGGUUGUAAAGCUCUUUUACCCGGGAUGAUAAUGACAGUACCGGGAGAAUAAGCUCCGGCUAACUCCGUG
rnacentral:rRNA from 1 species